rnacentral:rRNA from 1 species
GGGGAAUAUUGGGCAAUGGGCGCAAGCCUGACCCAGCCAUGCCGCGUGAAGGAUGACGGCCCCAUGGGUUGUAAACUUCUUUUGUACGGGAAAAAACUAUAGUUCGUGAACUAUACUGAUGGUACCGUAAGAAUAAGCAUCGGCUAACUCCGUGCCAGCAGCCGCGGUAAUACGGAGGAUGCAAGCGUUAUCCGGAUUCAUUGGGUUUAAAGGGUGCGUAGGCGGAUUAAUAAGUCAGUGGUGAAAUCCUACAGCUUAACUGUAGAACUGCCAUUGAUACUGUUAGUCUUGAGUACAUUUGAAGUGGGCGGAAUGUGUCAUGUAGCGGUGAAAUGCUUAGAUAUGACACAGAACUCCGAUAGCGAAGGCAGCUCACUAAACUGUAACUGACGCUGAGGCACGAAAGCGUGGGGAUCAAAC